GAGAUCCCGGCGGCCCUGCGCUGCUCGUGCGUCCUCCACGCGCCCCGCGCACUUCUCGGCGCGCAGGCCACGCGCACGGCCUUAGGGCUCUGCGUCACGUGCAUCCCCCCAGGCGCACCGUCCGCCGCGCGGCGCCGACGCACUGGCCCACGCAAAUCCCGCGCGCAUCCUCGCGCGCCCAAAGCCUUGUGCCUGGCUGGGCUGCAGGGCCGACCCGCUGGUGGGGAGUCGGAGGAACUCUCUUCGAUUUCUUUCUUUUUUUCCAGUACAGGCUUAGCCUUUUUAUUUUUACCAAAAGGUCAUUUCUACCGAAACGUCUGGAAGUAAUUAAAAGGUAUUUCCCUAGGAGUGGAAGUCCUGGGCCGUAUGCAACUCUGUUUAACCUGUUGAUGAAUUGCCAGGCUGUUUUCCAAAGCAGUGCACCAUUUUCCCAAAACCGAGGUGAGCAAACGGGUACCAAAAGUCAUGAAGCAAG